rnacentral:lncRNA from 1 species
AACAGGCUGAAUUAAAGCACUUAUCCAAACUUACAAACAAAAUUCAAGCUAACAACAUAAAUGAACAAACAAACACAUGAAGCAAAAUUAAACUUAUUACAGAAUUGAAUGGACUUAAAAACAUAGAGAUAGCAUUUGAUAAGCAACAUAUGUCAUGGAUUUCCAGCUUAAUCACAUAGCUGCAAAUUCUUUCAUUUUGCAUGUCAAUGAUGUCUAGGGAGUACCUGGUUACAGCAACAAAACAACAAGAAAAUAGGCCUGAGGUUAGGAAGAAAACAGCAAAAGUAUAUCAGCAACAACAGCACAACCAACACUCAACUUUUACGCCAUUUUGAACCCAGAUGAACACAGUUCUUUUGAGUUUUCAAAAACUCUGACUAACAAUGGAAAUCAAGGAGCAAAACCUAGCAAGUUUCAACCACAAAAUGCAAGCAAUUUUCAGUAUUUUCAGAGUCUAAAAGCUCAGCCGUUUCUAAGUUUUUUCUUAGUAUUCUAAUCUCUGCCUAACGAAUGCAGGAAAUUUCCCUUUUAUAGACAAAUUUUAGGGGAAAAAAACUUACAAACAAAAUUCAAGCUAACAACAGAAAUGAACAAACAAACACAUGAAGCAAAAUUAAACUUAUUACAGAAUUGAAUGGACUUAAAAACAUAGAGAUAGCAUUUGAUAAGCAACAUAUGUCAUGGAUUUCCAGCUUAAUCACAUAGCUGCAGGUUCUUUCAUUUUGCAUGUCAAUGAUGUCUAGGGAGUACCUGGUUACAGCAACAAAACAACAAGAAAAUAGGCCUAAGGUUAGGAAGAAAACAGCAAAAGUAUAUCAGCAACAACAGCACAACCAACACUCAGCUUUUACGCCAUUUUGAACCCAGAUGAACACAGUUCUUUUGAGUUUUCAAAAACUCUGACUAACAAUGGAAAUCAAGGAGCAAAACCUAGCAAGUUUCAACCACAAAAUGCAAGCAAUUUUCAGUAUUUUCAGAGUCUAAAAGCUCAGCCGUUUCUAAGUUUUUUCUUAGUAUUCUAAUCUCUGCCUAACGAAUGCAGGAAAUUUCCCUUUUAUAGACAAAUUUUAGGGGAAAAAAUUGAUUUUAAGCUUUACAAUUUACGCCUUCCCUGAUUUUUUAUUCUUUUAUUUCAAACCCCAAAUUUUAGCCUGCUUGUUAGACCAGCCCCUUUCCCCACUUUCCUGCAAGCUUCCUAAUCAGUUGUAAAAGAUUUCUCUGCCCAAUUUUCCUAAACUACCAUUUGAACUCUUGUUAUUUACCUUCAGGAAAUCAAACAUGGGUCAAGUUGACCCAAAAACCAUGGGCUUAUCCGGCUCAACAGGACCAAACUAGUCAAACCAAAAGAAAGACGAAGCAAUGGAAUUUUAGUGACAGCCUUGAAAUUUACCAAUUUCGAUUAACAAACAAGACUAAACAAAUUGUGACCCACUCUUGAACUAAAACAUGCUGAAAAUCAAUUAAUCAACAACAAUGAAAACAAGACUGCCUGAUUAUUUUCCCUAAACUUAACUUAACCUAAUCACAUGGAGCAACUAAUUAACCAGCAAUUUAGAUGAACAGAGGUUAAAGACUGAAAAGAGAAGUCGGAAAACAAACAAAGAAAAUAUAAAAAGACCCCGAGGAGCAGAGGAACAUGAAGAAAUGAUGAAAGAAAAGGAAGAAACAUAAAAGAACGAACCAUAGAAGUAGGCAGAGGGGGAAAAUAAGAGAAAAAAGUACCUAAUUAACUUGAAGAAACUCUGGCUGCUCCGAUUACCCAAAACUAAUGUUAAUCGCAUGUUCUUUGUCAAGAAAAAACGAACAACAUUAAUUUCAUGCUAAAUCGAGCCCUUGAAACUUGAAAACUUAGAGUUCUAAUCCUUACAUGCCAAAGAUCCGGGGUAAGGCGGAUUCGAGGUUUUAGGGCUUUGACAUGGGAUCUAAAAUUUGAGGCGAUGGAGAGGUAUUCGAGGGAAAUUGUUUUAGGGUUUAGGAAGAGGAGGGUCCGGGGAUUAUGGAGUAUAAUUUUGGAGGUGGUUUGGGGCCCGCCGCCGACGGAAUUGGCGGAGAGAGUUUGAGGGCGGCGCUAGGGUUUUGGCUUGAGAGAGAUAAAAGAGAAGCUGAAGAACAUAGUCCUAGGUUGUUCUGAUGGCUUUUGGACAGUUUUAAGUAAAAUGGGGAAGUAUUUAGGGUCGUUGGAUGAACUGAGAUGAAAGGCCAGGAUUCGUUUUAAACCUUCGAACUCAAAAUGACGUAGUUUUGGCUCUACACUACGUCGUUUGAAUUAUCUAGAUGACUGAAUGGUUUGGACCGGGUAUGGGGUGGAGUUUAGGCCCGGAUUGGGGAAUACUUUGGGCGGAUUUUCAAGUAAACUGGCCCAAUUUCACAAGACAAAUCUUUUUUCCAAUUCCUUCUUUUAUUUUCUAAUUUUUCCUUUUCUUUUAAUUAAAAUCCUACAAAUUAAAAAUCCUAAAUUAUCCAAAAGUAUGAAAUUAAACUAAUUAGGUAAUUAUAUAAAAAUUAUAAACAAUACUUAAUUCCAAUAUCAUUCUUGAGGAGAGUUUGGAUAGCAAUUUUUCGGCUAACUUUGUUCACUUUUUUGCAAGUAUUUCAUCGAAGCUAAAGCCUAAUCUUAUAGUAGAAUCUCAAGUGGUGGUAUUAAUGCACUACAUUCAAUCCACUGGGAGGACACUAAAGGUGGGCUUUGGC